ACUUCCAUUCUCCAAAUGGUAUCCAUUCUACAAAUGGAAAUAGGAGAGUGCAGUGUGGUCUCUGUCGCUCAUGCUCAGUGAACACAGCUCUGUCCAAAGUUGUCUUUCCGGGAUUAGAUGGCGAAGCUGGAGUAUCCCUUGUGAGGAAUUCCUACUAAGGAAUCUCUGCGUAGGCGGCUUGCGGGGCAAGAGUAGGUGCUGAGUUGCUCUCCUCACCAGUGCACGAGGCAUGCAGAUGCUGCCACGGAGUCUCAGCUCUAUGCAAGACCAGCCCUGAUCAUGCCUUAAAACAGUUUGAAUCAAGCUGGCAUUUUCCCCUGCAAAAGUUCAGCAAGCAUUAGAAUAUACCAGUCAGAACACAGAAGAGAAAUACAACCUGGAGACGCAAAAUUCAGAAGGCACCAGCAUUUUAAUGAACUAACACAGGACCAGCCUUCUUCACACCUCACAUCACAGAGAGUCUCCAGCCUCAUAGAAGCACAGAAGGCAAAUUUUUGGAAGAUUGGGAGUUUGGCGCAAGGGUGCAGCUGGAAUUAUCAGAAACAAAAGAUAUUGUCAAGAGCAGUUACUUUAUAAUUGUUGACUAAUAUUUAGGAUUUAAAUCAUGGUUGAGAACAAUCGCUCCGGCAGUGGUACGAAGGAUCUUUAUCCCCGCCAGAACAGAAAGCCCAGGCGCCGAAGCAGUAGGUACAGAUGAAUAUGGAUGAGGUCUGGACCUACAUGAGGUAAUGAUAACAAAGGAAGAAGCGGUUGGUUUGAGUGUAAUUUUUAUAUAGAACUAAAUGAGACUUUUAAAGAAGCAGGUGAAAUGGGAGAUGAUUCGCAGGUUCCUGACCGGGGUGACUGGGGAAUGUUAAUGUCCAGGUCGAGGUAGAAGCUAAUGGAUUUAGCCUGGACAUGCUGAAUUGAGGGGCAUCCCUGGAAAGAUAUCUAGUAAUUGGGUAUUUGGUAGGAUGCUUAGGAGAGAGAGCUAGGCUAGUGGUGUAAUUUGGGAAUCACUGUGUAUUGGUGAUUAGUAUAUUGGUGAUUUAGAUGCUUACCCAAGGAGUGUGUGUGUAAUGAGGGAAGAGAAGAUCAAAGACGAAUUCCAGGGGAAUACCAACAUUUACAGAGUGGAGAGAAUGAAGACACUUCUUAAGGAAAUAAAAAGAAACAGAAAUGAUUGUCAUGGAAACCUUGGAGGGGCGAAGACUUUCAAAAAAUAGAGUGGUCAAGGAUAUUAAUCUGUGAGGGGUCAAGUGAGAUAAAGACUGGCUAAUAUCCAUUUAAUUUGGAAAUUAGUAAGAACAAUUUCAGUUAGUGGUGGUAGCAGAAAUCAGAUUCCUGUGGGUUGAGGAAUGAACAGAAAAUGAAGAAUUGAAUUCAGAGUACUCUUUCAAGAGGCUUAUUUAUGAAGGUAAGAGCAGACAUUAAACUACAGCUAGAAGAGAAUCCAAGGUUGAAAGAAGUUUUUCUUUAAGAUGGGAAAGAUAUGGGUUCAUUUGCUUGUGGAGGGGAAGUCGGUGGGAAAAAAAUCUUAGAGAAAAGCAAGAGGGAAAAAUCUAUGCCACAGAAAUUAGUACGAGCAGAGAUACAGCAUGGAGCUUUGGAGGGGGGAUUGGCUUUAGACACAAGACUUUAGACUGGUGGGUGGUAGAGAACUGGGGAUUUUAGAAAUGCAUUGAUAUCUAGUUUAGUUUAAUUGCACUCAGAUGCGUGAUUUCCUCCUUGGAGAGAAUGCAUGCCAGGCUGUCUCCACUCCUUCACUCACACCACCUCAGGAGAGGUGGAACUAAUAACAUACUUAGUAAAUUUGAUUAGAACAACUGAGCAUUAGAAUACUUGGCUGAGGGGCGCCUG